GUGGGGAAUAUUGGACAAUGGGCGAAAGCCUGAUCCAGCCAUGCCGCGUGUGUGAAGAAGGUCUUCGGAUUGUAAAGCACUUUAAGUUGGGAGGAAGGGCAGUAAGUUAAUACCUUGCUGUUUUGACGUUACCGACAGAAUAAGCACCGGCUAACUUCGUGCCAGCAGCCGCGGUAAUACGAAGGGUGCAAGCGUUAAUCGGAAUUACUGGGCGUAAAGCGCGCGUAGGUGGUUUUGUAAGUUGGAGGUGAAAUCCCCGGGCUCAACCUGGGAACUGCCUCCACAAGUGGAUGACUAGAGUACGGUAGAGGGUAGUGGAAUUUCCUGUGUAGCGGUGAAAUGCGUAGAUAUAGUAAGGAACACCAGUGGCGAAGGCGACUACCUGGACUGAUACUGACACUGAGGUGCGAAAGCGUGGGGAGCAAACAGGAUUAGAAACCCGUGUAGUCC
rnacentral:rRNA from 1 species